CUACUCUGUUUCCUCUCUCCAGCCCUGAUGUCAGAUUGUUUCCCUCCAAGUACUGGUCUGAGGAUCCCCUACAGGCAGAUCUUUACAGUGAUUGCUUUUUUCCUGAUUGCUGCUGCUGUUUUCAGGUUUGUGAAGGAAGUGGCUACGUUAGACUAGCAAUUGCAGAGCUGGACUGGUGACCACUGUAGAUGUAGAGCCCCCAGAUGAUACUCAGAAGCCCCCCGAGGUGGUUCUGCACACCCUGCUCUGGGUGACCCUGCUGGAGCAGUGUGACAAGCUGCUCUACACUCCAUGUGUGAUCAAGGAACUCUGCAGGAAGCAGGCAACUCUGGAAAGAGAGUCGUUCCCCUGUCUCCAUGAGAACUCCCCUUUCUGUGUAAUUUGUCAUUUGAAGAAGUAGUUCAGGUUCACCCUGCUAAGAACGAUGCGUGCCCUUCUGCCUGAGACAAGAGCAGGCAGUUUCUGUCUGUCAGAGAGGUAGGCAUCCCCAUGCUGCAUGUCUCCAGCAGCUGAGGCCACCAGCAGCAGCAGGGCAAUGCGAAGAACUCAAGCUGCUGCAUCAGUUUAACGCGUUGCUGUCUGCAAGGCUUGAUGCGGGGCAACGAGGAGGAGAGAGGGUAAGACAAAGAUUGUGUUUAAAUAACCACUUAGGCCGGUUGGCAAUAAGCAGGUUCUUUUUUUCUCUGAUGGUUUAUACCCACUGUGUUUCUGUUCGACCCGGCCUUUUCCUGAGCUGAAGCCAAGGGAUUUUUCCAUGUCCCCAAGGAGUGUGUUAGAAAAGCAGUGUUUAUGUUAGGGGACUUCAUUAACAUUACGAGUAAGUUGUAGUACCCAGAGACUAUCACAGGCUCAGCAGAAUGGAGCAAACGAGUCCUUGUUCCUUUGCGUCAUUGGCCCAAGCAGCCACCAGGCUGAAACCCAACCCUGGCUGCUUGCCUUCAGGGGAAAAAAUAAGAAGGGUAAAGUAAACAAGGCCCCUGUUCAGCUUUCCUGGACCUCGAUGGGAAUUGCUUGCAAUUAUACAUCAAAACUAUGAGCUGGCUCUGAACAGGCACAGCUCUGCUCCGCUGAGGCUGCAACCUUGUGCAGAAACCUCCUGCCUGCAGCCACUCCGGCUGGCCUCUACGUCCUGGACCACAGAGCCAGGAAACUAUUAAGUAUGUGCUUAAACCUGCUGCUCCUCAGGACAGCGCUGAUUUGACACCCGCAUAGCUUAAAAGCAGGCGUGAGGUUACAGGCUUUCCUGAACAUGGUGGCUUUGCCCAGGCUAGGUCUCAGCCGCUCAUUAUUUUAUCCUGAUGACAGCUGAGGUUUGGGGAUUUUUUGCCUGCAGAGUUCCCUCCCGCUCUGCAUUCCCAUUCCCCUAUCCCCUCACCAUCAGGGCACACGCAGCUGUGCUGUACCCAGGACACCUCCUGCCUCUGCAGUCUCUCCCCGUCAGCAUUCCAACACCCCCACACCCACGAUGGAGAAGGCUCAGGCUGCCAGGACAGAGAGAGAGCAAAAGAGCCGUGGAUGCAGGUGCCCCAAGGUUGUCUGAGUUGCUCCAUUCCCUUCUGCCCACUGCAGAGCCUCUGGGCUUUUCUCCUUUCCCCCACCAGCACAGGUCCUACAUGUAUUCAACAGGGAGCCCAGCACCUUUGCUCUUCUACAGAAGGCAUAAUUUUGUAUGUUUAUAACUAAUUUCUUCAAACAUAUGCUUUCAC
rnacentral:lncRNA from 7 species